rnacentral:lncRNA from 1 species
UUGAGAAGGUGAUGGUGCAUAAGUAGGAUGUGCAGGUGGAGGAGCUGAAUGGUGUGACUGUUGAGGAUGAUCGUUUCUCCACCUAAAAUUUGGAUGAUUCUUCCAACCAGGGUUAUAGGUAUUCGAGUAUGGAUCGUUAAAAGGCUUUUGGUAGGAGUUCAUAGCAUUUGCUUGAUCGUGCAAGACUUCUUUGAAUGCCGGUAUGGUGGGACAAUCUGUAGUAGUAUGACCCGACAUAUCGCAGAUACCACAGCACUCGUUUCUAAGCUCUAUAGUCUUGACAGGCUCAACCUUCCUAAGCUCAAUUUCUUCUACCUUCCUAGUGAGGGCUGUCAUUUUAGCAUGAAGAUCAUCC